rnacentral:rRNA from 1 species
CCUACGGGAGGCAGCAGUGGGGAAUCUUGAACAAUGGGCGAAAGCCUGAUUCAGCGAUAUAGAGUGAAUGAUGACAGCCAUUUGGUUGUAAAGUUCUUUUACCAAGGAAGAUUUUGACAUUACUUGGAGAAAAAGCCCUGGCAAAUUUCGUGCCAGCAGCCGCGGUGAUACGAAAAGGGCUAGUGUUAUUCGGAAUAAUUGGGCGUAAAGGGUGAGUAGGCUGUAAUCAUAGUUAAUUUUUAAAUCUUAGUAGUAAUUACUAAAUCAAUUUUUAAUAACAAGUUACUAGAGUAAAAGAGAGGAUUGUAGAAUUUCAAGUGGAGAAAUAAAAUUCGUAGAUUUUUGAAGGAAUAUCGAAAGCGAAGGCAACAAUCUGGCUUUAUACUGACGCUGAUUCACGAAAGCCUAGGUAGCAACCAGGAUUAGAGACCCUGUUAGUCUAGGCUGUAAACGAUGAGCACUCAUUUUUGGAUAGAAUGUAUUCAGAAAUUUAGCUAACGCGUUAAGUGCUCCGCCUGAGAAGUACAGUGGCAACACUGAAACUCAAAGGAAUUGACGG